rnacentral:rRNA from 1 species
CUGCAGCUCAAGUGGUGACCGCUAUUAUUGGGCCUAAAACGUUCGUAGCCGGCUGAGUAAAUGCUUGGGUAAAUCGUGCCGCUUAACGGUACGAAUUCCGGGUAGACUACUCAGCUUGAGACCGGGAGAAGCGAGAGGUACUCCUGGGGUAGAGGUGAAAUUCUGUAAUCCUGGGGGGACCACCAGUGGCGAAGGCGUCUAGCUAGAACGGGUCUGACGGUGAGGGACGAAACCCUGGGGCGCGAACCGGAUUAGAUACCCGAGUAGUCC